rnacentral:lncRNA from 1 species
AUGCCUCUAGCGUCCUCCCUACACAUAGCAGGAGUCUGUAACCAAGAGGAGCAUCUCUGCCAGUACAAGCACACAGACCUUCUCAAGAGCUCAAGAUUCAAGAACACACAGGCAAGCGGACCAAACCAGCUGCCCUGCCCCCACCCUCAUCUUACCCCCUCCUUCCCCUGGAGAGGAGGGGCUGCCACAGCAAACUUGGAUGUCCAGCAUCCUCAGAACAUGUGCGCACAUCUGGAGGAAUGGCUACAAAGAUUAAUGUCGUGCUCAGUGUCAGAAUCCCCCUUGACAUUUCCUCAGUUUAUCCGAACAAUUUAGGGGAGCCCUCUGGGGCAUAGGAACCACACUCUGCAAUGCAAGGCCAGCACUUAACCUCUUGAAUCCUCAUUUCCCUGGAGAUGUUAAUGCAAGUUUUAUUCUUUAAUUGUUAAAACAAGCAGGUCCAGUACAAAACCGAUAUAGCAAGAACCUGAAAGAACUUAAGGCAAGAAUACAAAAAAGGAAAAUCUGGACACAUUGGGUUAACAGGAAUUUUAACGUCUCUAAGCAGGGUUUGAGAGCCAGCAGAAAAUAGAAACUAAAUGAUAACAAAAUUAGUAUUUUUGAAACCAUUAUUCCUGUUAACCAGGAUCUUGAACCAAAUGAAGCACUUUAAGCAUCAGAGAAUAUUUUGUUACCUUUACCCCCCUACUGUCUGAAAUUUAGUUUGGUUUCAAAUCAGUUAACUGUUAUUUAAAAAUUAUUUUCUCUGUGAAUGAUGCAUGUCAUGUAACUAAUGUCUCUUUCAUAUUGCUUUGGCUGCCAGGGGGCUCAGGAACUCAAAUUACUACAUAGGUCUUGCAUAUCUAUGUCAUAAUAUCCCCUCUGGUUUUGAUUUUUUCCCCUGAUCCUGGUUUUUAUCUACUUAGAUUUUUGUUUUAUUGCAUGUAUUUCUUAUAAGCCCCCUCAAAUCUUUUGUUAGAUAGAUUUGUAGAUCAAAACAACUUGGAUUUGUGGUUCAGUUUAAGAAGAAAUGAACAUUUCAGUUUGGUUUUAGAGUUCAGCAAAUUAGUGUGAUUAGCUCUGAUUUGAGGUUUACAGUUCUAUUACGUUAAAGUCCCUGGUAUUUAAUACAUCAAAGAGCCUGAGAGCUUGACUUAACCUCCUGUGUGUUAACACUACACAGUGCAUUGCGUGUCUGUUUCCAAUGAUUCUGGGGUACCACGCUCUUCAAGGUUCUGUCCUGGAUUCUUACUCACCCCUCAGGCAUGGUGGAAUGGAUGUGUGAGCAUUGACUUUCAAACACAGAUGCCACGAAGAGUUUAGAAAGGAAAGUGAUCUCCCUGACUCCAGCCUUUCCCUGCAUUUUCUCUUUCAAAGAGAUGAAGGCCCAAGUCUUCAGGGUACGAGAGCCCACACAUCCUUGCUGGCACAUGUUCCCCUUCACAUGACAGCCAGGCGACAUGGAGAGAUUCUUGCAUCCUGCACCCAUGCAUCAGGACCCUUCCCACCAGGAAAUGGAGAAGUUCUGGCACAAGAGGCAGCAGUCAUCCUGAAGAAGAAGAGAGAUCAGAAACAUUGCUUAGGCCCGGAUCCCAAAGUUUUGACUCUCCACGGUGCCCCUGGUGGAUCCUCCAAGAAUCCUCUGGAUUCCGUCAAAGACCAUUUAGUUUAUACGGAUGUAUAGACAGACAUCAGUUUGUGGUGGUGGAACCAGGCUUCCUGGGUUCUGGGUGCUGCUAAGACAUUCACUCUUAGUUUGAGCUUGACAACCUCAUUACCAUGUCUGUGUCCCCACUUCCUCCCAGGCAAGUGGAAGGGGAGGAAAUUGAGAGAAGGGAACCAAUAUGCCUUAGAUCUCUACUAUCUUCCAAAGACCACAUUUGCCAUUACCCAGCGUCAUCAUUUAUUAGCCACAUGACUUUGACUAAUGACUUCCUCUCAACCUGUUUCUUCAUCUGAGAGUGGAAAUUAUAUAUAUACACAUAUAUAUGUAUAUAUAUACACACACACAUGCGUGCUAAGCUGCUUCAGUUGUGUCUGACUCUUGUGACCCCGUGGACUGCAGCCUGCUAUGCUCCUCUGUCCAUAAGAUUCUCCAGGCAAGAAUACUGGAGUGGGUUGCUUCUCAACCCAGUGAUAUGGAGCUAAUGAAGCUAAAGUUUCAGAGCUCUCCUUUUGCACAUGGAUCCUCUGACUAGAAAGGAGCUCUGGAAACAUAUUUACAUGUUUCAUUUAAAAUUAGAAAAGUAAGAUAUUUUUGACAUUAUUGGCUAAGGACUGCUGUCUCUUUCCACUUGUUUUCCUCACUCUGCCAUGGUCAUUUUGGAGAUCAGGCUAAGUUAAGCAUGACGUGGGUUACAUUUGCCUGGAGUUUAAUGGAAUAUACUUGUGUAUUGCCAUCUCAGGGUAUGAAUGGGUUCUAAAUAUGUGUCUACCUCCCUUUGAAUACUCCUGUCUCUUACGGCUAGGAAUCUUGGCAUGAAGAUGCACAGCCAGAGUGCAUCUUCCCAAAUGUGAAAGUUUCCCAGAGUGCUUUGCAUGGUGACUUAGACAGUAAAGAAUCCGCCUGCAAUGCAGAAGACCCACGUUCGAACCAUGGGUCAGGAAGAUCCCCUGGAGAAGGGAAUGGCUACCCGCUCCAGUAUUCUCGCCUGGAGAAUCCCAUGGACGGCGGAGCCUGGUGGGCUACAGUCUAUGGAGUUGCAAAGAGUCGGAUAUGACUGAGUGACAAACACUUUAGUGUGCUUUGCACCAGAAGCAAGUGGGUAGCAGAAGAAAAACAAAGUUUGAAAUAUAUGGCGACAGGAGCUAGUCUGCAGAAAAUACAUCCAAUCAUCAGCCAUGUAAAACUAAGCAGGAGAUUUGGUUUUCAUAGAUAUCUAAUAAAAAUAGAAAUUCUUUCUUCUUAGAAACGUGC